rnacentral:lncRNA from 1 species
CUCCGGUCCCUACAUGGUGACAUCAUGUAGGCAUAGAGUAUGCGUUAGUACGUUUGAAUGUACUAAGUAUAUGGGAUGCAAUGCAAUGCUACAAUAGAUGGACAUCAUAGGAAAAAUGCAUAAUCAUACCCGAUAGAUAGCACAUUAAUGAAAUGAUAUAUAUAAUGACGUUUACAUAAAAAUCAUAUUUAGUGGGACGUAGUACAUGUGUGGUGAGUGACCAUCAAUAUAAUACUUUCCAAGGCCUACCACCCCCUUGG